rnacentral:tRNA from 1 species
AUAUGAAUUUUUUUCUGUGUUGGUGUAGUGCACUCAGGUGAAUAUGAUAUUUGUGGUGUUACUCUGAGUGUAUAUCCAUACCGGGCGAUAUAAAACUAGAUCCUGUUCCGAAAUAUCACUUACUCGAACCGUCCUGACCGCGUAGCUCAGUUGGAAGAGCAUUGGGCUAGUAUUCCAAAGGUCGUAGGUUCGAAUCCCACCGUGGCCGGGCAUAUUUUUCANNNNNNNNNNNNNNNNNNNNGAUAUACACUCAGAGUAACACCACAAAUAUCAUAUUCACCUGAGUGCACUACACCAACACAGAAAAAAUUCAUAUUACUAGAAAACAUUGGUAUUGAAGGAACUAGAUCCUGUUCCGAAAUAUCACUUACUCGAACCGUCCUGACCGCGUAGCUCAGUUGGAAGAGCAUUGGGCUAGUAUUCCAAAGGUCGUAGGUUCGAAUCCCACCGUGGCCGGGCAUAUUUUUCAAGCUCGCCCGGUGUGGAUAUACACUCAGAGUAACACCACAAAUAUCAUAUUCACCUGAGUGCACUACACCAACACAGAAAAAAAUAAAACAGUGUACUUGUAAA